GAUGAACGCUAGCGGCAGGCUUAACACAUGCAAGUCGAGGGGUAUAGUUCUUCGGAGCUAGAGACCGGCGCACGGGUGCGUAACGCGUAUGCAAUCUACCUUUUGCAGAGGGAUAGCCCAGAGAAAUUUGGAUUAAUACCUCAUGGUAUGUGAGAAUGGCAUCAUUUUCACAUUAAAGUCACAACGGCAAAAGAUGAGCAUGCGUCCCAUUAGCUAGUUGGUAAGGUAACGGCUUACCAAGGCAACGAUGGGUAGGGGUGAUGAGAGGGCGAUCCACCACACUGGUACUGAGACACGGACCAGACUCCUACGGGGGGCGGCAGUGGGGAGUAUUGGACAAGGGGCGCAAGCCUGAGCCAGCCAUGCCGCGUGCAGGAUGACGGUCCUAUGGAUUGUAAACUGCUUUUGUACAGGAAGAAACACUGGUUCGUGAACCAGCUUGACGGUACUGUAAGAAUAAGGAUCGGCUAACUCCGUGCCAGCCGCCGCAGUAACAC
rnacentral:rRNA from 1 species